rnacentral:misc_RNA from 1 species
GAAAUGCGAUAAGUAAUGUGAAUUGCAGAAUUCAGUGAAUCAUCGAAUCUUUGAACGUACCUUGCGCUCCUUGGUAUUCCUUGGAGCAUGCCUGUUUGAGUAUCAUGAAAUCUUCAAAGUAAAUCUUUUGUUAACUCAAUUGGUUUCUACUUUGGUAUUGGAGGUCUUUGCAGCUUCACACCUGCUCCUCUUUGUUCAUUAGCUGGAUCUCAGUGUUAUGCUUGGUUCCACUCGGCGUGAUAAGUUAUCUAUCGCUGAGGACACUGUAAAAGGUGGCCAAGGUAAAUGCAGAUGAACCGCUUCUAAUAGUCCAUUGACUUGGACAAUACUUUUAUGAUCUGAUCUCAAAUCAGGUAGGACUACCCGCUGAACUUAAGC